GAGUAACACGUAGGUAACCUGCCUUUAAGACUGGGAUACCCAGAGGAAACUUUGGCUAAUACCGGAUAACAACAGGAGCGGCAUCGCUCCUGCUUGAAAGUCGCGUUUGCGGCACUUUUAGAUGGACCUGCGGAACAUUAGCUAGUUGGUGAGAUAACAGCCCACCAAGGCGAGGAUGUUUAGCCGACCUGAGAGGGUGAACGGCCACAAUGGGACUGAGACACGGCCCAUACUCCUACGGGAGGCAGCAGUAGGGAGUUUUCGGCAAUGGGCGAAAGCCUGACCGAGCAACGCCGCGUGAGUGAGAAGGUCUUCGGAUUGUAAAGCUCUGUUGUAAGGGAAGAAUGCCCGCUUCAGGAAAUGGGAGCGGGAUUGACGGUACCUUACCAGAAAGGGACGGCUAACUACGUGCC
rnacentral:rRNA from 1 species